rnacentral:piRNA from 1 species
UAGAAUCAGUCAAGAGGAAUUGGGCCC